rnacentral:ncRNA from 2 species
AUGUCCGACCAUGUGACAGGUUUUCGCCGGACGAAUCCGGUGGGACCAAGAGGGAAUGCGAAGGACGGACCCAAUUCGGGCGUCUUUAUCGCAGCCGACCCCGCGACUGUAGAGCGGAGAGGAAUGAAGCCAGGCCGGGUAACCGGCAGCCACUGGAACUUAAAGUUCCGGGAAGGCGGUGACAUUUCCGACGACCCGUGAGCCAGGAGACCUGCCUGUUGCAGAAGGGUAUU